AUUUGAAUUCAUUUGAGAGUAUUUGGAUGAGUUCUGAUAAGUUUCGAAUCUUAAAUACAUGAAAAUCUGGGUUAGAACAUGAUGGGACGACCCACCUGGGUCAUCCUCUUCUGUUGGCAGCCGGCACGUAGCGUUCUAGGUCAUAGCACGCUAUGGGAUGACCCACUUGGGAUACCUCAUAGUAAUUGGGACGUCCCAUGAGAUGCCCCCAUGAGAUCCUGAGACCAAAACAGAAAGCAGGACUUUCUG
rnacentral:lncRNA from 1 species